AUUGAACGCUGGCGGCAGGCUUAACACAUGCAAGUCGAGCGGAGAGAGGUAGCUUGCUACUGAUCUUAGCGGCGGACGGGUGAGUAAUGCUUCGGCAUCUGCCUAUUAGUGGGGGACAACAUUUCGAAAGGAAUGCUAAUACCGCAUACGUCCUACGGGAGAAAGCAGGAGAUCUUCGGACCUUGCGCUAAUAGAUGAGCCUAAGUCGGAUUAGCUAGUGGGUGGGGUAAAGGCCUACCAAGGCGACGAUCUGUAGCGGGUCUGAGAGGAUGAUCCGCCACACUGGGACUGAGACACGGCCCAGACUCCUACGGGAGGCAGCAGUGGGGAAUAUUGGACAAUGGGCGCAAGCCUGAUCCAGCCAUGCCGCGUGUGUGAAGAAGGCCUUAUGGUUGUAAAGCACUUUAAGCGAGGAGGAGGCUACUUUAGUUAAUACCUAGAGAUAGUGGACGUUACUCGCAGAAUAAGCACCGGCUAACUCUGUGCCAGCAGCCGCCGUAACAC
rnacentral:rRNA from 1 species